GUAGAAUGUAGGUGAAAAAAAGGCUGGUUAAACCGUUUGGUUUUCGACCACUACGACCCGGGUUCGAUUCCCGCAUUGGACA